ACGAACGCUGGCGGCGUGCUUAACACAUGCAAGUCGAGCGAGGGGAAGCGACAGCAAUGGAGUUUACUCGAGCGGCGGACGGGUGAGUAACGCGUGAGCAAUCUGUCCUUGACGGCGGGAUACCAAUUGGAAACAGUUGUUAAUACCGCAUAGGACCACAGUGCCGCAUGGCACAGGGGUGAAAGGAGGAAUCCGGUCAGGGGGGAACUCGCGUCCUAUUAGGUAGUUGGUGAGGUAACGGCCCACCAAGCCAGCGAUAGGUAGCCGACCUGAGAGGGUGAUCGGCCACACUGGAAUUGAGAGACGGUCCAGACUCCUACGGGAGGCAGCAGUGGGGAAUAUUGGGCAAUGGGCGAAAGCCUGACCCAGCAACGCCGCGUGAGGGAAGAAGGUUUUCGGAUUGUAAACCUCUGUCCCAAGAGAAGAGGGAAAGACGGUAUCUUGGGAGGAAGCCCCGGCUAACUACGU
rnacentral:rRNA from 1 species